CUCAACCAAGUCAUUACCUGAAGGAUCCAGCCGAGAACCGUCACCUCUGCCCCUCUCCCCAGGAAUGGGGCCCGAGGCGGGGCCUACUGGGCAGCAUUUGCCUCAGGAAGCAACUUUGUUCUGCAACGAUUAUCUCGAAGGCUCUGUAUGUCCUGCAAGAGCACAGUGGCCAGGACAUCUCCUUGAAGAGGCCAGAGGGGAACAUGUGAUUUCUCGGAUGGCUUGAUUCAGGUUUAAUAGGGUGUUCUGACUUCAUUUGCCAAAUCAGAUGACCCCGCAUUGAGCCAAUCCAACCAAAGCCAGAGGCCUGGAACCUUCCUUCUCUGGCCUGUGUAUUUGAUCAGCGUUUCUCAAAGGGUGGCCAGCGUCAGCCACGCAGCUUCCUGUAUCCCCUCCAGCCCUGGAAGUUCACCGAACUGAACUUGACCAAAGCCAUUCACAGUCACAAUACAUGGCCGAGAGGAAAUGCCCAAACCUCGCGAAAUGCAUUUCAUCAAAGGUUGGAGGACAAAGGAGGUUUUGUCUCUCGGCACUUAAAAUUGGCCCCAUCCCACAGAUGCACCACGUGGUCCAGAGCCAUCUCCCACCAGCUGCAGGACCCAAUCUGUGGACGUUUGCCCCCGGGGCUCCUGGGUACCCAGCCGGGGAGUUCCUCCUUUGGUGCUGCUCUCUGGGACUCCCUGCCUAUGUGUGAGCACAUCGCUAGAGGAUCUGCCUGCAUGCAGCAUGCCUGUGCUCCAGCCACAGUGGUUGCUGAAAUGACUGCCUGCCAGAGUCUCUGUGCGCCAAGCAUCACCAGCACAUGGUGCUGGGAGAAGGGUUGCUGUCUGCUACGCGGAUGGCAGCCAACUAGAACUGCACUGCUUUCUUGCUUGCCUUUCCUGGCUUAAAAUUGAAGUUGCCCAGAAAAAUCAAACAUACAACUACCAUAGGAUCCCGGAAUCCUACUUGAAGGGGAUCUCCCCACUGUAAGGGAAAGCAGGGCCUUGAAGCAAUACUUGUCCCCCUGUGUUCACAGCAGCCUUAUUCGCAAUAACUGAAACAUUUAAAACAACCCAAGUGUCCACUGAUGCAUGCCUGGAUGAACAGAAUAUGGUCCAGCCCCAUAAAGGAGUGUGGUUCAGCCUUCAAAAAACAGCCGCUACAACACCACUGGACCAACAAGGUGUGAUGGUCAGUGAGAUUAAGCCAGACACAAGGACAGACACAGUAUGACUCCACUUGUAUGAGGCGCCUAGAGUCAUCAGACCCUAG
ensembl:lncRNA